AUGGGCACCCGCACACCUGGUCUUACCCCUUGCACAGCCUUUUGGCCUUUGCAUGACAUCCUAGCCCUUGCACAGCUGGUCAGCCCUUGCACGUGUAGCCUUUGUGGCUCACUGCUGCUCCUCGUGAUGCUCUCUGAUCGCAGCACAUUCUGUGCUUGCACACCAGUGCACUCCUUGCACCACUGUCUGGCUGUGGCAUGUCCAAACCUUGCCCUGCCGCAUCCAGCCUUCACACACCUAACCCUUGCACAAAUGCCCAGCCCUUGCACACCUGUCCAGCCCUGGUGCAUCCAAUUCUUGCACAGACAGCUCUGGCCUGCCUGCCUGUGUCCCAGUUCUGGGACACCCGUCCUUGUCCAUCUCCCUGUCACAUCCCUGUCCUGUCCCCAUCCCUGUCCCUACCCUGUCUCCAUCCCAUCCCUGUUACUUUCCCUGUCCUGUCCUGGUCCCUGUUCCCACCCCCAUCCCUGUCCUCAUCCCCACUCCAUCCCUGUCCCAUCCCUGUCCCUGUCCCAUCCUCAUCCGUGUCCCAUCCAUAUCUCUGUCCCAUCCCUGUCACCAUUCCGUCCCCAUCCCUUUCCCUGUCCCUUUCCAAUAUCAUCCCGUCCCUGCCCCUGUCCCUGUCCUGUCCUUAUCCCCUUCCCCAUCCCGUCCCUGUCCUUGUCCUGUCCCUGUCCUGUCCCCGUCAUGUUCCUGUCCUGUCCUGUCCCCAACCCUGUCCCCAUCCCUAUCCCAUCCCUGUCCCUGUCCGGUCCCCAUCCCUGUGCUCAUCCCAUCCUUGUCCCCGUCCCGACCUUGUCCCCUUCCCUGUCCCCGUCCCCAUCUCCAUCCCCGUCCCGUCCCUGUCCUGUUCCCAUCCUUGUCCCUAUCCCAUCCCGUCCCCGUCCCUCCCCGCCCUUCCCCUCUCCGCCCGCCUCCCGGAGGAGGGGGAGGACGGACCUCAGGGCGUGCCCACCCCUCCCUUUCCCCUCCCCUCCCCUUCACCCCUCCCCUCCCCUCCUCGUAACCCCUCCCCCGGCCCCGUGGCCCCUCCCCGGGCCGGCCGGGCGCUAUAAGAGGCGGCGCGGGGCGGCCGGGGCGCAGCGGGCGCGGCGGGGGAACGAGAUGAGCAGCGCCGGCGCCGCUGCAAGAUGCUGGAUGGACACGUCCUGCUGGGAUGGCUCUCCUCCUGCGCGCUCCUAG
rnacentral:lncRNA from 1 species